rnacentral:rRNA from 1 species
AUAGCGUAUAUUAAAGUUGUUGCAGUUAAAAAGCUCGUAGUUGAACCUUGGGCCUGGCUGGCCGGUCCGCCUCACCGCGUGCACUGGUCCGGCCGGGCCUUUCCUCCUGGGGAGCCGCAUGCCCUUCACUGGGUGUGUCGGGGAACCAGGACUUUUACUUUGAAAAAAUUAGAGUGUUCAAAGCAGGCAUUUGCUCGAAUACAUUAGCAUGGAAUAAUAGAAUAGGACGUGCGGUUCUAUUUUGUUGGUUUCUAGGACCGAAGUAAUGAUUAAUAGGGAUAGUUGGGGGCAUUAGUAUUUAAUUGUCAGAGGUGAAAUUCUUGGAUUUAUUAAAGACUAACUUCUG